GACGAACGCUGGCGGCGUGCCUAAUACAUGCAAGUCGAACGCAGUGGGGACGGGUGAGUAACACGUGGCUAACCUCCCAUCAGAGGGGAUAACACUUGGAAACAGGUGCUAACCCGCUACUGAUGGAUGUACCCGCGGUGCCUUAGCUAGUUGGUGAGGUAAAGGCUCACCAAGGCUACGAUGCAUAGCCGACCUGAGAGGUUGAUCGGCCACACUGGGACUGAGAAACGGCCCAGACUCCGACGGGAGGCAGCAGUAGGGAAUCUUCGGCAAUGGACGAAAGUCUGACCGAGCAACGCCGCGUGAGUGAAGAAGGUUUUCGGAUCGUAAAACUCUGUUGUUAGAGAAGCGGUAUCUAACCAGAAAGCCACGGCUAACUACGUGCCAGCAGCCGCGGUAAUUC
rnacentral:rRNA from 1 species